rnacentral:rRNA from 1 species
GACGAACGCUGGCGGUGUGCUUCACACAUGCAAGUCGAACGAGGUAGCAAUACCUAGUGGCGGACGGGUGAGUAACGCGUGGGAAUCUGCCCAAGGGUGGGGGAUAACUAGCCGAAAGGUUAGCUAAUACCGCAUAUGCCGUGAGGUAAAAGGAGUAAUCCGCCCCUGGAUGAGCCUGCGUCCGAUUAGCUAGUUGGUAAGGUAAAGGCUUACCAAGGCUACGAUCGGUAGCUGGUCUGAGAGGAUGAUCAGCCACAAUGGGACUGAGACACGGCCCAUACUCCUACGGGAGGCAGCAGUGGGGAAUUUUACGCAAUGGGGGGAAACCCUGACGUAGCGACACCGCGUGAGCGAAGAAGCCCUUUGGGGUGUAAAGCUCUGUCAGCAGGAACGAAAAAAAUAGACGGUACC